GAAGCAAGCAUUAUUUGCAGCCAACAAAGCGGUGGCUAAAGUGUAUUUGAAAUGGCUAACUUCUCUCUGGUUCCCUCCUGGAUUUACCAGUGGUGGAGAACCUGAACUUCAGGACUGGGCACUCUAACAAAGCCUCCAGAUCACCACUGCUUCCCUGUGGAGGGCUGAGGGCCCAUGACUCUGAGGAAGUGACUGGAAGAUAUCAGGGCUCUUGUUGGGGGCAGAGGUGACAACAUCACAGGAAACCUUGCUAAAGCCUCUCUGCCCACAGGAUAUGACUUAGGGAGGGCUCAUGAGGCACCAACUAUGGCCUAAAAAUCUGAUAGUAGCAUCCACACAAGCUCUGGAAAGACCCUGGCCGUCAGCGCUACUGUUACCUGCCACAUCUUCCAUGCGCCCGAAGCAGAUAAGCAGUAUAUCCAUGAAGGUACUCUUGGACACGAAGGCCACUGAAACCAUUCCUCCUUCCAAGAACCUUCAGGCCCAGACAAUGUGGGAUAAAACUAGAAAGCACUGCUGGCCAUAGUGAUACCUAGAGCUGAAGCAAGAGGAAUCCCUGGAGUUCAAGGCUCAGCCUGGACUACUCAGUGAGCACCAGACCAGUCAGGACCUGUCUCAAUCAAAAAGAGCUGGAAGCAAAUGACCCUGGGCAGUAGGGUUACAGCUCUGAAGACAGGAGGGAUUAGGAAACUCAAACAGAAGGGAGCUUGCAGGACCACAGGCCCAGGAGGUAAACACUGGAAAGAUCGGCUAUGUCACGCACAGAAUUUCAAGACCGUAGAGGGAAGCAUAGAAGACUUCAGAACGAUCUGGAGCAGGUCUGUGUGGGACCAGUGAAGCCAGGCUGGGGCAAACAGGACUCGGGGUCCAUCCUUCCGAGGGGCAUUGGUGGAAAAGAGGGAACAGAUUGAGAAGGCAAAAUGACAGCUUUGUGGAUUUCUCUGGAGGCUCCUGGGAAAGGUGAUUUCGGAAAAGGGUAGGACUGGAAGGGCCUUAGGGUAGACAGUGGUUAUCCAGCCUGCAUAAGGCCGGCAGGUCUUAAACACACUAAUAAUGAGGCAUGACAAACUCUUCAUAACUGGUAGAUCCAGCCAGCCUUAUCACAGUGAGACCAGGAAUAGACAACCUCUCAUUUCUGAUCUGCGAUUUCUUUUGUAAAAUGAGUUAGUGAACCCAGUUCACUGGCUUGGUUCAAGAUUCAACCAGAACGCACAGCGUUUCCCUCUUUCUCCCUCUCUCUCUCUCCCACCCCCCUAUUGCUGUUUUU